CUUUGGCCCCAACCUCAUGGUCCCGAGGAAUCCAACCUGAUCUCCAGAUGAUUUACAGAUUCUUCUUUUGCUUUCUCCAAACCUUUUCCCAUGUAACCUGACUUUGAUGUGAGUAGGGAAGUCAUGUGAGCAACCACAAGCAAAAAUGAAUAUUUGCCAGUGUCUUACACUUCCUCCACCUGUUUUACACACCUUGGACCCAAGCACCAGGUAGACUGUAGCUGAGCUACUAUUCUCAUGGCCCCCAGAAUUUCAGCAGCUCCUCCCCUUUCCACUAGGACGUGGCUGCUCACCAUGCAAAAUCUGGGGGUGUCUGUGUGGGGUGUUGGUCCACAACAGGGAUGCAGGGCUGACCCAAAGCUCCUCAGCCACAUCUUCUCCUGAAGAAGUUCUACCAUAAGUUCAUCCCUCCAAAUGAAGCUUUGGGAAGAAAAAAAAAUCAGUGAGUGGAUUCAAAUCUGGUGAGUAGCUCCUGUGAAAAGAGAGAGUCAUGGUAAAGCAUCUCUACUUUUCUAUCAGUGUUUCUUAAAUGCAAAGGUUGGCCAUGGAAAUGCUGCAAUGUUUCAUUUUGUUGUUUUUUUUUCUGAGUGCUCACCUGUUUCAGAUCUGCUUUUCAUCAUGCUUCAGUUUCAGAAAUUAACUUGAACUGAAGGAGAAGGUUAUCCAAAAAGAUUAUAUGGCCCCCAAAUGAAGUCAGAAGUAUUAUCUCACGUCUAGCCAAAAAUUUCAUUUUGACCCACUAAUGAAAGUUUCUAGGAUUGUUUCUUCCAUUUCAGUCCUAAAACAAGUAAGGUAUUAUCAUUGGGCUAGACACAAACUAAUAGUCCCUCCCCAGCAGGACUGUAAGAACUACAGGGGAAGAAAUAUUAGACAAGGUAAUUAAUUGUUAGUAUAAUUAUCAAAAUUGCAGCUGUAAUAACUUUUUACAUGGACAAAUCUUGGUGAUAAAGCUGGUCAGACCUCCCUGACCUGGGAUCCACUGGCAUGGACCUAUUUUCCUUCAGGGAAUGUGGCUGGGCAUGUCAAAAUAGCUGGUGACCCCUCUACUCCAUCUGCUUGGCUCCUUCUCAGGACAGCAAGCAGACAGAUCAUGAAAAAAAAGGAGAACAGAAUGUCAGACCAAAUGUCUUGGACAGAAAUGUGCAGGUUGUUCUGAUCAACCCCUCUGAGAAAUUGUCUGCUGAAAGACUUGGGCGCUUCUGUACCUCAUAGUUCACACAUCAUAAUUUAUGUGCCUUGUCCAGCAUUUUUUCCCUGUCGUAAUCGUAGAAAGGGUCUUAGUUCACCGGUGGAUCUGGAUUCUGUGGUCACAGAAAAUUCAAGGAUAAGCCCUGUGCCUUAACAGAAGAAAAGCGUGGUCCGAGAGCCAUUUUUCCCAUAUGAUUCUUCAGAGCUGGCCCUCAGCUCACCGCUGGCCAAAAAAACCCCACAAAGGCUGGUUUCUUUCUUCUUCCAGAGUUUCUUAUUCCACUAAAGACGUGUUAUUAUUUUAAACUUAACGGGAAUUUAAUCAGAAAGGAGUGACGCAGCGACUAGUCACCAGCUGAGCCCUGCAGAGCUCUGAGGGAUGGGGCCAAGCCCCAGUCCAGCCAGCCAGGGCUCUCUUUUGGGUUUGGAAAUCAUUCCUGCUGCCUCCCACAGACGCUCCGUGGUCGUGGCAGCUGAUUGAAUGAAAACCCUUCACCUGCUGUGGCUCUCGCUCAGCUUCCCUCCCUGCCAAGUCCUGGCCUUGCUGGUAGCAGCCUGAAAAGGCCCAAAGUGGCUUAAAACUGUGGCAGAUGUUUUGUUUUAACAGGAGGGGAGGAGAGGGGGAGGAAAGGGAAUCGGUGACAGGCGGUGAAGAAGAAAGGUGGGAGGAAAAAUAACAAAAUGGAACCAUCUCAUCUGCCUCUAUCCCUCCAUUAGCUGUCACAGCAAGCAAGGGUGGUUCAGACUGGUUUAUCUCCGAGGGAUGCUGUGCUGCUGAAUGGAAAACAAGCUGGAGGUGUUCACUGAGUACUUCCCACUUUGAGUUAGAGCAUGCAAACAAAACAAAACAAAACAAAACAAACAAAAAAAAAAAAUCCAGAAAAGCCAAAAUUUGACCUCAAACUAAACUCUGAUAAUUUUUGUGCCUCAUUAAUAUAAACUCCAUUUUCUAUCCUGUUCUCAUGCCUCUGAGUUCAGCCUGAGAUUUUGUUUUAAAUGUGUCUGAAAUGCGCAGUUGUUCAGGUCAAGGGUUUUGCUUUGGCACUCAAUUAACUAUUCCUGGCUGUUCCUGUGCUACGGGAGGUCUGAGAGUAUUUCCAGGUUUAUCAGCAGCUUUUAUUCUGGAAGUUGCUCCUCUAACCCUGCAUUUUUGUGUGUGUUGCUGAUAACCCAUGUCUGAAAUAAUGGUGUGGCUCUGUGCCUCGUUGGGAUCCACCUGGGUGUGGAAAAAAAGGAUUUGCCAGAGGGGUGCAAUUUUGCCAUCUCUGUUCCUACCGAGGAGACUUCUGAGCUCCUGAAGAUCUUUAGAUGUAAUGAAGCAAAUCCUCAGUGAAACGCCAGUGAGAUUCAGACCCUCAGUCCUGCAGUGGGGAUUAUUUUGUUGAGCAUUAUUUCCCCCUCCUUUUAUAUUCUGCAUUUCUCUGGUGUCUUUAAAUCAAAAUCCAAACUGCUUCUUCUCCCCCAGCCCCACCAACAAUCCCUGAAGGUGUCCCCUGCUUUUGCUUCAGCUGUGACACUGCCAAGCCAACAGCAACAUCAAAGAAAUCUGCAGAGCUUCCCAAGUAGCAGCAGUGGAAAGGAAAGGCGGGAUGCCAAGGUUGCUGUGGUACAGUAGGAAAGCAGGAAAGUUUUCUCCAUCUGCUUAAAGGAACUGUAGACAAAUACAGCUAACACAGGCACCAAAAAGCACUUCCAAGAGAUCCCCAGCUCACAAGACUCUUUUAGUAGCCACACUGAUUGUGGAAUUUUUUAAAGAGUAAACAGGGAUGCAGCCUUCUUGUUCUGGUGCAGAAGAAGAAAAUUGCUGUUGAGAAACCCCACCUGCUUUCCAUUUUUAGGACAUUUUUCCAUUCUUAGGAAAGACUGUGGACAAUUGUCUAACUAUAUAAAGGAUGUUUUAUUUCCCUUUGAUUAGAAAAAAAAUCAUAUGCAGGACUUGCAACUGUUCUAAGGACAAAAUGUGUGACAAGAAUGAAUGGCUCUUUUUUUCAUUAAUAUGUAUGUCUUUGAGCUAAGCUUUUAGUGGAAAAACUACUCUAGAGAAGCCUAAAUGUGACUUGAAGUCUGAUCCUUUGUUAACUUGGCAAAUACCUGAGGAUGAAGUAUGGAGAAGAGCUAACCUAUAAAGUAUCCUGUAUUUUAACAGCCUGUUUCUCCAUUAGGAAUUUUUAGACAUCAAUAGAACGAAUUGUCCUGUAUUGUAUGUUACAUGUCUGUGUGCUGUAAAAGCAUUAAGGGUUUUGUCAGCUUUCUGCCUUAACCCUUAAAGACAUCCCUGAUGUCUGGUGCUCCAGCAAAGUCCUUGUCCUCAGCCUUUUUUGGGGGCUGCUGUUGAUUUUAUGGCUGUGCAGGCACAUCAUGGUUUGUUUUCACCCUCGAGGAGAUCCAGAUGCUGCUGGUGGAUUUAUCACCGUUCCUGUUCUUAUUUGCUUGUGAGCUCCUCCAUGGACCACGCUAGUCUCAGAUGAAGGAAUAAAUAAAUAUUAAGCAAGGACACACCUUCUGAUGUGUCAGAAGGUGUUCAGAUUACAGAAUCUGAAAAGAUUCUGUAAUUCCAGCCUCAUUUGUAAGACAGGGACACCCUGCCAGGGUGAGCUCCAGACGGGUAUUGCUCAGCUCGUGUCUCUCCCUGUUGACAAGAGCUGGUUGCUCUGACCAGACUUUGAACCUUCUCUCCAGGCUUUCUGGCGCCAUCUUCACUCCUUCCUGCCUUGUUCUGGGACAGGGUGGCUCCCUGUGUGUCCUGCCUGACCUGGGAAGCUCUGAUAGCCCCACCAGCAGCUCCCACCUAGACAAUGUUCACGUCGUCCUGGUUGUUUCCUGAAUGCCUGACCUUGAGAUAACCACUGUCCACUCUCUCCUUCCACGGGUACAGCAUCUCCAGCAGCUCCCACCAGCCAGAGACAGCCCCAAUUUGUAAUGGACUAACUGUCCAUGUCCUCACCUUCAUCCACAAUAAAUGUGAGGGAACUCCAGUGUCACUGAGUCGUGAGAACCCCCAAGUGCCAUCGCUGUUACCCCAGGAUGACAUUUGUGCAGGGCUGCCACACUGGACAGCACCUCCAGCUCAAUCCUGCAAAAAUAUAGAUCUAUUUCUCCUGAAAUACCUAUUUUUGAUUAUGGUAUCAUGGUGGCCUUGCCUGCAAACAGAACCAAAGUAACAAACUCCUUCCUUCCCUUUCCUGGGCCUGAGGGCUUGCCAGUUCUCCCAACUGCAUGUCGGGCUGUGGAGAAAUUGCCCCCACUGAAAUUAAUUCUUUCUCCCUCUAAAAUAUUGUUUAUAGCCCAGAUCACCUCCAAGAUCUGACUCACACCUUGGCUGUGCAGUGUGGGCAAGGGGGAUGGUGGAGCAACACCAUUGUGAAGAUGCAGAAGGUGUUUCAGCUGUUCUUGUGUUACAACAAAUUACUCACUUUAAUGAUUCAAUCAGUCACGACAACCUGCUGGGGGGAGCACAAGAGCACUUGGCUGGGUCUAACCACCGACCCCACAGUCCUCAGGCUUCAGCUGUGGACCACCAGGGCCGUAAGACCCGGAGAGGAGGGCUGUGAAAUGAUUGACGACUUUCCUCCCUAUGGUGGACAACCAAACACAAAAUCCUCGCCAGGUAUUCGUUCUCAGGAGUGCAGGGAAAAAAUACAACCAACCAGUAAAACAGUGCAACAAGUGAGCGUGCAUCCUAGCUGUAUUUUUCUAGUUUUCUUAAAAAAAAAAAAAACACAAAAAAACCAAGAAAAAAAAAAUGGUGAUGGCACAUGGAUGGUGGACUCAGGGUGCUCCUCAAAAAAAAAAAAAAA
rnacentral:lncRNA from 1 species